CUGCUGCCUCCCGUAGGAGUCUGGUCCGUGUCUCAGUACCAGUGUGGGGGACCUUCCUCUCAGAACCCCUACGCAUCGUCGCUACGGUGGGCCGUUACCCCGCCGUCUAGCUAAUGCGCCGCAUGCCCAUCCUCUUCCGAUGAAUCUUUCCUCGAUCUCGGAUGCCCGAAACCGAUAUACGCGGGAUUAGCCUCCCUUUCGGAAGGUUGUCCCCCUGAAGAGGGCAGGUUGCAUACGUGUUACUCACCCGUGCGCCGGUCGCCGG
rnacentral:rRNA from 1 species